GAGUUUGAUCGUGGCUCAGAUUGAACGCUGGCGGCAGGCCUAACACAUGCAAGUCGAGCGGAUGACGGGAGCUUGCUCCUUGAUUCAGCGGCGGACGGGUGAGUAAUGCCUAGGAAUCUGCCUGGUAGUGGGGGACAACGUUUCGAAAGGAACGCUAAUACCGCAUACGUCCUACGGGAGAAAGCAGGGGACCUUCGGGCCUUGCGCUAUCAGAUGAGCCUAGGUCGGAUUAGCUAGUUGGUGGGGUAAUGGCUCACCAAAGGCGACGAUCCGUAACUGGUCUGAGAGGAUGAUCAGUCACACUGGAACUGAGACACGGU
rnacentral:rRNA from 1 species